UUAAGUCCGCUAACGAGCGCAACCCUCGCUGUGUGUUACAAGUGUCACACGGAACUGCCGGUCAUAAACCGGAGGAGUGGGAUGACGUCAAGUCAGCAUGGCCUUUAUAUCCCUGGGCUACACACACGCUACAAUGGUCUGUACAACAGGUUGCCAAACCACGAGGUGGAGCCAAUCCCUAAAACAGGCCUCAGUUCAGAUUGCAGGCUGCAACCCGCCUGCAUGAAGCCGGAGUUGCUAGUAACCGCAGGUCAGCUAUACUGCGGUGAAUACGUUCCCGGGUCUU
rnacentral:rRNA from 1 species